rnacentral:rRNA from 1 species
GGGGAAUAUUGCACAAUGGGGGAAACCCUGAUGCAGCCAUGCCGCGUGUGUGAAGAAGGCCCUAGGGUUGUAAAGCACUUUCAGUAGGGAGGAAAGGUUGUAAGUUAAUACCUUGCAGCUGUGACGUUACCUACAGAAGAAGCACCGGCUAACUCCGUGCCAGCAGCCGCGGUAAUACGGAGGGUGCAAGCGUUAAUCGGAAUUACUGGGCGUAAAGCGCGCGUAGGCGGUUACAUAAGUUGGAGGUGAAAGCCCAGGGCUCAACCUUGGAAUUGCUUUCAAAACUGUGUGACUUGAGUACAGCAGAGGAUAGUGGAAUUUCUAGUGUAGCGGUGAAAUGCGUAGAUAUUAGAAGGAACACCAGUGGCGAAGGCGACUGUCUGGGCUGAUACUGACGCUGAGGUGCGAAAGCGUGGGGAGCAAACAGG